rnacentral:rRNA from 1 species
GAUGAACGCUGGCGGCGUGCCUAAUACAUGCAAGUCGAGCGCACGGACGAGGAGCUUGCUUCUCUGAUGUUAGCGGCGGACGGGUGAGUAACACGUGGAUCACCUACCUAUCAGACUGGGAUAACUUCGGAAAACCUGCGCUAAUACCGGAUUAUCUUUUGAACCGCAUGGUUCAAGAGGGAAAGACGGUCUUGCUGUCACUUAUAGAUGGAUCCGCGCUGCAUUAGCUAGUUGGUAAGGUCACGGCUUACCAAGGCAACGAGGCAUAGCCGACCUGAGAGGGUGAUCGGCCACCCGGGAACUGAGACACGGUCCAGCCGCCUACGGGAGGCAGCAGUAGGGAAUCGGCCACAAUGGGCGAAAGCCUGACGGAGUAACGCCGCGUGAGUGAUGAAGGUCUUCGGAUCGUAAAACUCUGUUAUUAGGGAAGAACAGAUGUGGAAGUAACUGUGCACAUCGUGACGGUACCUAAUCAGAAAGCCACGGCUAACUACGUG